rnacentral:lncRNA from 1 species
AUCUCACCAACAGACUUGAACCUGGAGAUUCCCCUGUAGUGGAGGAAGGACUUUCCCUCUACCUUCCUGGGUUCAAUAGCUGGGUCCAUGAAAUAAACUGACGACAGGCAGAUUAACAGCAGAAAAGGGCAAAUAAUUCCAGUCCCUGUGGGGACCCAGUGAUCAGAAAAUACGUUAUACUCUGAUAUGAUGUCAUGAGUAUGAUGGAAGGAAGACUUCUGGCCAUUCUUUCAUAUAUCCUGGGAUUUUACUGGCUUAAGAGUACUGCAAAAUUGUGAAGCUGGUGUUUCUUAUACUUUUCUCCCUUUAAGAGAGAUGUGUCUGUUUCUUCUUGUUGGAGCUGGUGACGAUCAGGGACCUCCACUCUAGAGCACGGACAAAGCUGGAGUUGCUGUUGUUACUGUGUUAAGGUCACCAGUCCCUUCUGGAAAGUUCAGACUCACAGAACAUCACCUAUGCCCUGCUUCAUUGCAAGAAAACGAAAAUGUCCCCAAUGACUAAUGUGAACAGAAUGUCACCGUACAGUUAACAGGCAAUGAUGUGACACUGAAUUUGAGCAAGAAUUCCCGCAGCCUGGAGGCGGAGGGUGAAGGAGAUAGGAGACAGGGAGGAUGGCAGGGCGCUUUACUCUUUAUUGUAUUCUUUUCUGUUCUGUUUAGAUUUUCAAACGUAGUACUUGAAUUGUUUUUAUUUUAAAAAUAAACAGUCAUUAUCUGGGC